AAGUCGUAACAAGGUAACCGUAGGUGAACCUGCGGUUGGAUCAUUAACAAAAAGAUAAGGGUCAGACCUUAAAACGUCUGGCACUUAUAAACACCUGUGCACUUGUAGUGUUUGAAGCAAGGUAAAAUUGGAGACCCAGUAGGGUCUUUGGGGGUGUUGAAGGUUAAUUAGCCUAGUUGCUGAUGCGUUCACACCUCACCUUCCUGCUUUGACAUCAACAUUUAACAUGUAUAUCUUGAGCUAGUUUAUUAAUUAUAUUAAUAUCUAACAACUUUUAACAACGGAUCUCUAGGCUCUC
rnacentral:misc_RNA from 1 species